CCUACGGGUGGCUGCAGUGGGGAAUAUUGGACAAUGGGGGCAACCCUGAUCCAGCCAUGCCGCGUGUGUGAAGAAGGCCCUCGGGUUGUAAAGCACUUUCAGUGAGGAAGAACGCCUGGUGGUUAAUACCCAUCAGGAAAGACAUCACUCACAGAAGAAGCACCGGCUAACUCCGUGCCAGCAGCCGCGGUAAUACGGAGGGUGCGAGCGUUAAUCGGAAUUACUGGGCGUAAAGCGCGCGUAGGUGGCUUGAUAAGCCGGUUGUGAAAGCCCCGGGCUCAACCUGGGAACGGCAUCCGGAACUGUCAAGCUAGAGUGCAGGAGAGGAAGGUAGAAUUCCCGGUGUAGCGGUGAAAUGCGUAGAGAUCGGGAGGAAUACCAGUGGCGAAGGCGGCCUUCUGGACUGACACUGACACUGAGGUGCGAAAGCGUGGGUAGCAGACAGGAUUAGAUACCCGAGUAGUC
rnacentral:rRNA from 1 species